UACGAAGGGGGCUAGCGUUGCUCGGAAUCACUGGGCGUAAAGGGUGCGUAGGCGGUGGGGCAAGUCAGGUGUGAAAUCCCGGAGCUCAACUCCGGAACUGCACUUGAUACUGCCUUGCUAGAGUACUAAAGAGGGUCGCGGAAUUCCCGGUGUAGAGGUGAAAUUCGUAGAUAUCGGGAGGAACACCGGUGGCGAAGGCGGCGACCUGGACGAUGACUGACGCUGAGACGCGAAAGCGUGGGGAGCAAACAGG
rnacentral:rRNA from 1 species